CUUAGCUUUAUUAGGAUGAUGAUGUAUCGGAUUCUACAACUUGAAGAUUAUAGUAAGAGCUGGAGAAAUUUUAGCUUUGUACUACCCUCUUGUUUAAAAGGAAGCUCUGGUUCCUCUAUUAUUAAAUGCACUUUGUGCGCACAUUUCAGGGCUUCAAAAGAGUUCUCAGAUGUACAUGGGCUCAUCAUGCAUGCUUACAGCUCACAGAAUCCAGACCUGCGUGUUGAUCAUCUUGGGUUACAUAAGGCCAUGUGUGUUCUUAUGGGAUGGGACUACACGAAGGCACCUGAAAACUCUAAGGCAUACCAGUCGUUAUCUGCUGCUGAUGCAUCAGCAAAUAGGGAUGAUUUGGUUAUGUGGCCACCUGUGGUCAUAAUCCAUAACACGAAUUCUGGAAAAAGAAAAGAUGGCCGCAUGGAGGGCAUGGGUAAUAAGGAAAUGGAUUUGAAACUAAAAGAUCUAGACUUUGCUGGUGGCAAGUCGAAGUCUAUGUAUGGUAAGGAGGGUCAUUUGGGCAUCACGUUGGUGAAAUAUGCCAACACUCAGGCUGGGUUGAAGGAAGCUGAGCGACUGGCAGAUUACUUUGAGAAGGACAACCGGGGAUGCAAAGGCUGGGCUAGGGCGCAAGCUUAUCAGUCAGGGGCCGACGAGGAGAAGAACCCUGCCCUUGUGGAGGUCGACCCAAAGAGCGGUGAGAAGAAGAGGAUCUUCUAUGGGUAUUUGGCAACAGCUUCUGAUCUUGACAAGGUUGAUUCUGAUACCAAGAAGAAGGCUGUUAUUAAGAGUAGGAGGGAGUUUGAUUCAUCAGAAUAGGUAUAUGAUCAAGCAAUGCUUGCUCUCUUUUAGAUGGACUGGUCAAUCAAUUUCCAUGUUGGUGGUUUGAAUUGGCUAGCACUUUUAACUUAAGGCAGUUUGCCCUAUGGAAAGAAAGAUAUUGCUUGGCUCUAUUGUGUAAUGGAUGCCAAACAAAUAAAUGGAACUUUUCCUCCAGAAUUCGGCCGGGAUGCAAUUAUUUUUAAUGUGGUUCUUCAUAUGUUAGUUCUGUCUGGAAAACAUUAUGGUGUCAAAUGCAGUGAUUAGUAUGAAGGAUGCUUGCGGAUAAAUUUAGCAGGUUCUUAUGCAA